UUUGACCUCAAAUCGGGUGGGACUACCCGCUGAACUUA
rnacentral:rRNA from 2 species